AUUGCAAAAUUCAUAUUUGAUGAGAGCACCCAUUUUUGAAGUUUUCUUUGCAUAACCUGUUUAUGAAUGUCUAAAUGCUGGCUGAAUUUAUACAGUAACCAUCAGCUGUAACAUCGUGCAGUGAAAUCUAACUUAUCGGAGUACAUUUGUGUUCAGAUCUAGAUGUGGGCUUACCUCAUGACAAAGUGAGGGAGUUUGCGCAUGUAUCAAGUGACAGAAUAUUUGAACAUGAGGACUGUGGCCCUGUUGAGAGUUUAAAGAUGUCAAUUGAUUUCUCUCAGACUGGGGUGGCAGAGAUUGCACAAGCUAUGCAAGAUGGAGAAUAUGAUAUUAACACAAACUCCAGCACAGAAUAAAAGCCUGUGCCACCUAUUGUUCUAAGAGCCCACGUGGUCAAGAAAGAGUUACAGGAAACUAAAAACCUGAAGCAGAAACUAGAAGCGAAGGGGGUGGAUAUAAAGGAGCUAAUGAUUUCCUUGAAGCUAAAGCAGGAGGAAGUGAGUGAGAUCACUAUUAGAAAAGAACUAGCAGAAGAGAAGCUUGGAAAUGUGAACAAAGUCUAUGAGCUGACUAUUGAGAAGUUGCAGAUAAGUUAGCUGAGCCACAGGCAUGAUAUUACUUCACAUUUGCAAGUCCUGGUUUUGUUGUGAUCGCAUUUGUAGGGCCUUAUUCAAACUGUAUGGAAACAUUUUGUCCUAACUCAUUUAGAUUCUGAAGAAGUAUCAUUAAUUAUUUCUGUGGAAAGUGAAAACUGGUAUCACAUUUUUCCCAAAGUGUUUUAUUUCUGUAUAUUAUAUGUUUAGAAAAGUGGUUCUCAAACAAAAGUUUUGUCUGGGCCAUAUUCACUUUUACAUAACAUUUACAUGUAAUUGUGCCAAAACCUAAGUAGACUGUGAUAAUUUUUUAAACAUCUUGCUUCCUUUGUUUCUUCUGUGAACCAUAAAACUAACAUAAUAAAAAGUAGAAUAAGAAUAUACUACUGGUUUAUUCCCUCAGAGUAAUCUCCUAUUAAAUCCAUACAGUUCUAUCAUUGGUGCUAACCUAACAGUAAACAGUUUUUGAAGAUCAUUUU